AACAUCUUCACCACAGUCUUAUUAGGGUUAAAUAAGGUCUGAAGAAACAAUAUAAAAAUUUUUCUUAAAAAAGUGAUUUAUUGAGUUGAUACAAAAUAAUUGUGCCAAUAAUAAAAUAGACUUUUUAAUAAGAAGUUAAUCCCACUGGAUAUAAUUUAGUUUUGGGAACUAAAGUUAAUAACAUUUUAGAAGUUUAUGAAAAGAUAUUCACUAUUUUAAAAAACGGUUCAAUUUAUUUCCUGUAACAAAUCAAAAUCUUUAGUCACAAAUUUCAUAUUAGACAAUAUAAACUUUUACUCUUUGUUCAGAUUUUUACAAAUGCUUCCACUAAAGUAAGCAAAAUACACCCUUACUGGAUUAAAAAAUUCCAGUUCACUUAUUUCAAACAUUAGCUUUAUUAAAGUGUGUCAAACCCAAAGUACUCAAAACAGAAUGUUAAUUUUCAUCACAUUUUGAUAAGUAAAUAGAAAUUGUUUUAAAAUAAAAAAGCUAGGUAAAACUAGACUUUUUGGUAUACUAGGUAUGUAUAGUUACUAUAAAAUUAAAAAUAUGUUCUAAAAAAAGAGACUUUUUCUUAUUUGGAAAUUUUUCCAAGUUUAGAAAAUAAGGUGUAUUAUUAAUUACCAAGUAGACUAAAUAAUACUUCAUGUUCUCACAGUUGGAUUCGUUUCAAAAACUGUAGUGUAAAAUCAUCAAUAUUAUAAUAGACCAAAAUAUGUAUCCUUAGUUAAGACUGAAUUAAAUUCAAUUGAUACUUGGCUAUUAAUAACCAGAGGAAUAUUAUUUUUUAAAGUACUAAUUUUUAAACAAGAUCCCAAGCUGCUGAUCUGACUUUAACCAAAUUACCAACACAUCAAUAGGUAACUUGGUGCCCGUGCUUUCAGAAGCUCAUCCGUGGCACUGGACAUCACUCACUGAAUCAAAAUGAGAAAUAUAUCAAUAUUAUGAUCCAACUUUUGAAAUCUAGUGAGUCUUAAGAUUAAGGCUAACACAUUCAACAACCACAACAACUAGCAAGCUAAAAGUUCAAACCAUGUUGAUAAAUAAUUAAACUAUAUAAGGAAUGAAAGACACACCUAAAUUUCAGAUUUAAAAUUAAUCAUUAAAGUUGGUAGUCCUCAAACAAAGGGGUAUGAACGUGCUGCCUUGGGAUUUAUGCCUCAUUCUUAUGACAACUGAGAGCUAGCUUUUCCAUGCUUUCACAUGAACUACAUAGCCAAGGGCAAGAAAACAAGAUGAUUAUCACUCUUUUUAGUUCAAGAAAUCCAUUUAACAUAAAAGUCUUACUUUAAUAUGCAAUGAUUAUUCCUCAGUGAAAUUAUAUAUAUAUAUGUAUAUAUAUGUAUAUAUAUGUAUAUAUUGCAAUAUGUGCACACAAAUGUAUCACAUAAUACCAUGUUUCAUCCCUGUGUGAUGUGAACUAAGCAAAUGUACAGAAGACUCCUUGAUGUAUUUGAACAAUAGUGAUGAGUAAAAGUGGUCUGGUGAAGCAUUGAUCACAUUGAGGCCAAAAGGCAUAAAAAGGCUUGUUGAAUUAGACCAGAUCCUGAGUAUAAGGAACUUAGCUAGACUUUUUGUUUUGUUUUUUUUUUUUAAUUUCAACUUUCUUGAGGUAUAACUGACAAAUAUCAGUUAGAUUCUUGUCAGUCUGCUAGAGCCAGCUUUAUAAUAUACUUUUGGGCAUGUAAGAUUAUCCUGGGUCUGACUUGGAGAUGAACCCAAUUGUAAACUGGCCUUGAUAUCAAAUUACUCUUCUGAAAAACCAAGACCAACGAUGAUGAAGGACUGCUUUGGGCUCAAGGAAUUCUCCUGAGCCAAAACUAGAUCAACACCUACACCAAAAGGAAAGAUGCUUUCUCUGCCCUCACAUCUGUCAGACUACAUUUCUACUUGGUGUAACCAUUUUAGUAGGUUAAUUUAGAAAUUAUUACACCAGGGAUAAUAUAAUUUUGUUUCCCAAGUUUUCCUGCAAAAGCAAUACUAGCAUUUGAGGUUUCCUUUUAAAUAGGUCAAUCUCAGUCUGACUAACUAUAUUAAAUGGAAGGAACUAGUAAAGUUCUAAUUACAUUGAAAACAGCUCUAUUUAAGUUACGUAAACUGUCAUAUACUAUUUUUCUAAAGCAUUCACCUUGAUUAGAUUAUUAAUGUUUUCCUUUUAUGGAGGUCCCCACAUGGCCAUUCCUGGGGCAGAGCAGGGAAACUCCAAAGAAAGCUGCAGCCCCACUGUUACUUACCAAAGUUGUUGCAGCAGCAGUAGCAGGAGAAAGGGCUAAGUUCUAUAUGUAUGUGAGAGAAUGAUUAUUGCAAUUGUAGACUAUAAAACACAUACCACUUGUAUUGUUCCUGAAGGAGGUACUCGAUAACCCCUUUUACCAAGGGACUCUAAAGUAAUCACACCCUUGAAAUAAAAGAAGACAAAUUGAGUACAAACUGAUGCAUAUGUAUAUGAAAGGCUAAAAUAAGUAAAAUAAAUCAUGUAAUUACUAAAAUUUUAGAAUUCUACUUGUAUGCAAAAACAUUCCCAUCAAUAGAUACAUUCUGAGUAUGAAAUAUUGAGGGUCCCACCCAAAAGGAAACAAUUUACUGUUCUUCCUGCAGAUGUUGAAAUAAAUAACAUUACACUGUUUGAAAUUUCCAUUAAGAUAUACAAUAUAGAAGUUCCUUAAAAAGGAAAUACAGUUAGAAGACAGGAUUAUUUUCUUGUAUCAUGUGGAAAGAGAGAAAUGAAAAAGCAACUAAUUUAUUGUUCUUUGGACAUACAAAAAGUAAAGAAUGCAGAAGGGUCUAAGUCUUAGCCAAUAGUGAAGUAAAUUCUUUAGU
rnacentral:lncRNA from 1 species